UACAGAGGUCUCAAGCGUUGUUCGGAUUCAUUGGGCGUAAAGGGUGCGUAGGUGGCGGGGUAAGUCAGGUGUGAAAUUUCGGAGCUUAACUCCGAAACUGCAUUUGAUACUGCCUUGCUUGAGGACUGGAGAGGAGACUGGAAUUCACGGUGUAGCAGUGAAAUGCGUAGAGAUGUGGAGGAACACCGAUGGCGAAGGCAGCCUUCUGGGCCAACACUGACGCUCAUGCACGAAAGCGUGGGGAGCAAACAGG
rnacentral:rRNA from 1 species